rnacentral:rRNA from 1 species
GAUGAACGCUGGCGGCGUGCCUAAUACAUGCAAGUCGAGCGAAUGGAUUGAGAGCUUGCUCUUAUGAAGUUAGCGGCGGACGGGUGAGUAACACGUGGGUAACCUGCCCAUAAGACUGGGAUAACUCCGGGAAACCGGGGCUAAUACCGGAUAACAUUUUGAACCGCAUGGUUCGAAAUUGAAAGGCGGCUUCGGCUGUCACUGAUGGAUGGACCCGCGUCGCAUUAGCUAGUUGGUGAGGUAACGGCUCACCAAGGCAACGAUGCGUAGCCGACCUGAGAGGGUGAUCGGCCACACUGGGACUGAGACACGGCCCAGACUCCUACGGGAGGCAGCAGUAGGGAAUCUUCCGCAAUGGACGAAAGUCUGACGGGGCAACGCCGCGUGAGUGAUGAAGGCUUUCGGGUCGUAAAACUCUGUUGUUAGGGAAGAACAAGUGCUGGUUGAAUAAGCUGGCACCUUGACGGUACCUAACCAGAAAGCCACGGCUAACUACGUGCCAGCCGCCGCAGUAA